rnacentral:rRNA from 1 species
GACGAACGCUGGCGGCGUGCUUAACACAUGCAAGUCGAACGGAAAGGCCCUGCUUUUGUGGGGUGCUCGAGUGGCGAACGGGUGAGUAACACGUGAGUAACCUGCCCUUGACUUUGGGUUAACUUCCGGAAACUGGGGCUAAUACCGGAUAGGAGCUCCUGCUGCAUGGUGGGGGUUGGAAAGUUUCGGCGGUUGGGGAUGGACGCGCGGCUUAUCAGCUUGUUGGUGGGGUAGUGGCUUACCAAGGCUUUGACGGGUAGCCGGCCUGAGAGGGUGACCGGCCACAUUGGGACUGAGAUACGGCCCAGACUCCUACGGGAGGCAGCAGUGGGGAAUAUUGCACAGUGAGCGGAAGCCUGAUGCAGCAACGCCGCGUGCGGGAUGACGGCCUUCGGGUUGUAAACCGCUUUCGCCUGUGACGAAGCGUGAGUGACGGUAAUGGGUAAAGAAGCACCGGCUAACUACGUG